rnacentral:sRNA from 1 species
AGGCAAACCCCUGUUGCGUUUCAUGGUGAUAAAUAUUGUAAUUUUUUUACUAUUCUUGUUGAUAAUGCGGGGCUGAUAUGUUAAACUUAACCUAAGUCCUAAAAAGGACGAAGUAGUUUUUUAUCAGGAGGAAAUACCAUGAAGGGUACAGUUAAGUGGUUUAGCGCAGAAAAGGGUUAUGGAUUCAUUGAAAAGGAAGAUGGCGGCGACGUUUUCGUUCAUUUCUCUGCAAUCCAGGCUGACGGCUUUAAGACACUGAAUGAAGGCCAGCAGGUUGAAUUCGAUGUUGUCUCCGGCGCUAGAGGAGAUCAGGCUGCUAACGUUAGAGUCAUUGCGUAAUCACUUAAAGACUAUAGAUA